rnacentral:rRNA from 1 species
UACGGGGUGGGCGAGCGUUGCCCGGAAUUACUGGGUUUAAAGGGGGUGUAGGUGGUCCGGAGAGUCAGGUGUGUAAUCCAACCGCUCAACGGUUGGGCUGCACCUGAUACUUCCGGGCUAGAGGGCGGUAGAGGAGAGCGGAACUCCCGGUGUAGCGGUGAAAUGCGUAGAUAUCGGGAGGAACGCCGGUGGCGAAGGCGGCUCUCUGGGCCGUUCCUGACGCUGAGGCCCGAAAGCUGGGGGAGCGAAAGGG